rnacentral:rRNA from 1 species
CGUAGGGUGCGAGCGUUAAUCGGAAUUACUGGGCGUAAAGCGUGCGCAGGCGGUUUGUAAGACAGGCGUGAAAUCCCCGGGCUCAACCUGGGAACUGCGUUUGUGACUGCAAGGCUAGAGUAUGGCAGAGGGGGGUGGAAUUCCACGUGUAGCAGUGAAAUGCGUAGAGAUGUGGAGGAACACCGAUGGCGAAGGCAGCCCCCUGGGCCAAUACUGACGCUCAUGCACGAAAGCGUGGGUAGCAAACAGGAUUAGAUACCCUGGUAGUCCACGCCCUAAACGAUGUCAACUAGGUGUUGGGUGGGUAAAACCAUUUAGUACCGGAGCUAACGCGUGAAGUUGACCGCCUGGGGAGUACGGCCGCAAGGUUA